UGUUAGUAACACUUUUCUUCUGCACCUUCACUCUCCCACCUGCUUCUGGUUAAACAGAUGAUCAAACACAUAAACAGCUUCCCUGAGGUUGGGGUAGAGUUAUAGCAAGCACAAUGCUGGUAGAAUGAUAGCUGAUAAAUUUGCAUAUAGUAAAAUGUAGUUCUAAAUUUGACCUUAAAUUUCUCUGAAAGCAUGAUCAAAUCUGCAUUAUACAAAUGUUUUGCGAUCUACAGAGAGUCAACUCUUGCUUCAUGUGUUUUAGUUUUUCUUCAUGGUGAAGCAAUUAACAAAGGGUCUGAUGGGCACUGCAGUAUGACCUUGAAGCUGUCAUUUCCUGUGAGUUUCCUGGAGGUUUGGAAUGACUUCAAAAUCUAUGAAUCUGGAAUACUCAAAAAGGUCAGCAUCACAGCCAGGGAUGCUGAGACAAGCUAUCAGAAUAGGAUUGCUACAAGCAGAGGAAAAAAAGAUUAUCAGAUUUCAUGUAGUCUGUGGCCUUAACAAUCCACUGAAGCUGUUGGUAGAAGAUUGGGCACAAGCCAACGUUAGCCAUUCCUCAGCUAUUUUAUUUAUUUGUUUCUUGUUCAACUUGUGCAUGCACAAACAACACAGAGAAGGAUUCUACAAGAUCACAGGAAAGGAGAGAGUUGGAUCAAAUGUAUGGUGGGAAAAAAAGGCUGAGUGGGAAAGAUGGAAAGAAAAAGAGCACGGAGACAGUCCAAUUUAUAUUCUUUCUUCAAAAUGGUCUAUCUAAUAUAAGUAUGAAAGACCAAGCUUACAAAAUACUUCUAGACCUACAUAAUAAAGAAAGAAGCAAGGGUCCUGCCUCUAAUGUGAGUUCUCUCAGUCCAGUCUUAUGGCAAAGCCACAAAUCAUUAGGAUUGUAAACAUCUGUGAGUUCUCUGGGAAAUAUAUCCUGGCCAGCAUGAGGGCUAAGAUGUUUGCAAAAAAACCCCAAGCCCAUUAAAAUAAUCCAAGUGAUAAAAAAUGUAACGGGCUGGGAUUUUCUUCACUAUUAACAGCUUUUCCCUUACACUCUUGUUUCCAAAGAGCAAUUAAAAAGAUGAUUUUCAGUGCACAUUCAGAAAGGCAAGGUAAAAAUAACAGUUUGCUGUAAAAUGUUUAGGUGACUAAUUGCAUCUUAAGGUUGAGAGUUGUUUUGCUCCACGUGCAGCCACUGCAUUGUGCUCAUUAGUAACCUUGAGAAGUGCUAUUGUAGCAUGAAGUUCCUUACACUAGAUGGGCUUUUACAUGAUUUCUUCAUGUCUGUGUUUCUGUCUGGAAACAUCUAUCAUCCAGUGACAGGGACAGGCUAACACUCGGAUAAAGGAAGCAAACUCAAGAGUUUCGCUUUCCCAGACAGAUAAAGCAGAGAUACUACUUUCUAUUUUGAACUGAAGCGCCUAUAGCAAGUGAGCAAAAUACUCCAGUUUUCAGUUCAUGAAAACAAGCAGCUUUUCCCCUCUAGGCCUACAAACAUUUGUCAGAAGACUAAGUGAAGAAAUAUGAAAAUACUGAGUGUGAAUUAUAUCAGACUGUGAGAGGCAGUCUAGUCUAGUAAGAAGGCUAAUGAACAGUGCAGCUAAGGAAAUCCAGUUUUGUUACUGAUUUUCCGUGUGAUGUACUGAUUCCUGAAACCCUCUUGGACUUGUUCUAAUUUUUCAUGUGGCUGACUUACCUCAGACAUGCAGUAAGCAUAUUUAAUUCACACUGAAGGGAAACAUCCCUAGUAAGAGUCUAGUUAUGAACCUGUCUGCAAGGAGGACAGUUGGGCAUUACCACAGCUAUGCCACCCCUACAAGAAUUCCACCCUACUGCCUUGAGCUAGACUCCGCUGGCAGACACUGGGCAGACAAAUCAGAUGUAAUGAACUAACACCUAGGAAGGUACAAUUUUCUUCCCAGCACUCUCACUAAGGUGCAGGCUUGCACUGCUACAAGACAUUGCCACAUGGUUUUGGGCCUGAAGGACUUGAUAUCCAAGACCAAGUAAGUUAGCUUGCUCAUUCUUAUAAAAAGUGUAAGGGAAUUUUGCUGCUGUCUAUGAAUACCUAACAGGUUGGUGUGGUGAAUGCAUAACAGAAGUUUUCUCAGAGCUGCACAGCUAAAGGACAGCCAAUAAAGAGAUAAAAUUCAGCACAGGAAAGCUAAUUUAUUAUAAAUGAAAAAAAAAAAAAAAAAAGCAGCCAAGCAUCAGUCUGGUCAAAUACUGGAAUAGUUGUGGGAACUCUAACCUUGGCAAAACUCACAACUUAACUGGAAAAGGUCCUGAACAACCUAUUCCAAGUGGACUUGUUCUGAGAAGGAGCUUAGACUAGCUAACAUUUGGAUACCCCCACAUGAUUUUAAAAUUCUGUAAUGCAUCUUAAAAGCUAUAUCAGAGAGAAUACUGUUUGGCCUCCUAUUGGAAGUACAGAUGCAGCCCAUAAUUAGAGACUCUAUUCCAGAAACAUCAUGCAUCAUUUCCUUGAUUCCAGACCCUUCUGCAUAGUUCAAGUUUCAACCAUUAGCAAAUUUAUCACAGUUUUAUAUAUUCAAAAUAUUUGUGUAUAUAUUCCUCUCAACAACUGAAAGUGAUGAUUUUGAAGUCCAGCUUGCAGAGUUAAUGGAUGCUCAGAAAUUCUCAGAUGAAGUGGAUCACAAUGAACAUCUUGAUCAGUGAAAGAGACUGUGUACCCGAGAUGAUACUCUCAGCUUCUACUCUGGGCAUCCAUCUGCCUCUGCUUUGGAGCUUCCUGUUCCCCCUGAAAGGAUGCUGCAGCUGUCUGGGUAGCAGUAAAAGAAACAACAGAGCUUUUAGCACAGAAUUCAGUACCUGAAAUUGGUGUCAUUUGACCCUAACCUGUCAGAGUGGAUGAGGCAGUUUGCAUAUUAUGAGAACAAAGGAGAUAUCCCUUCAGUGAGGGCAGGAAAGUCUGAUAAGACUGUUAGAACAAGCUAAACUCAUCAUUUUUCUGUUGGAAUCUGAUGCUGUACUGAACAGGACUUAAGUAAUAAUUCCAGCUCUAUGUGAAUGUUCCAAGGUAUCAUUAAAUAGAGCACUUGAUAAUAAAUUGCCCUUUUCAUUGUCAUGAGAUAUGCUCUCAUGUCUUUUCUUACUUUGGCCCUCCUUACUUUUUUCUCAAAGUUAACAAAGGCAGAAAGUCCAUGCUUCUGUACAAUUCCCACUUCUGCAACUCCCAUAGGAUAAGGCAGUGCAAACCUGGUUUAUACUGUAAACAUCUCACGAAAGAGCUACAUCAGGUUUGCAGUCUGAGAGCUGCAGCAGAAGUUUCCCAGACAUCUGCACAGCUCAGGGGGCUUGGAUUCCAGCCAGGGAUAAAGGGCUGUGCAGGACAAUGCCCCGUGUGGCUGCACACAGCACUCAGGGCUCACAGCUCCCAUGCACUGCAGAGGUAGUAAAGCAGCUCUCAGUGAG